rnacentral:lncRNA from 1 species
CAUUAGAUUGAGGUGUAUAAGGAGCAGUCACUUGAUGCACAAUUCUAAACUUUUGACAGAAAGCAGUCAUCUCAUUUGAAGUAUAUUCACCACCUCGAUCAGACCUCAAAAUCUUGAUUUUCUUAUCUAAUUGAUUUUCAACUUCAGCCUUAUAAAUUUUGAAUCUGCUUAAAAUCUCAUCUUUAGAUUUGAUCAAAUAAGCGUAACAAUAUUUUGAAUGAUCAUCUAUAAAUGUCACAAAAUAUUUAUUUCCACCUCUACUAGGUCUACUUCNCUCAUCUUUAGAUUUGAUCAAAUAAGCGUAACAAUAUUUUGAAUGAUCAUCUAUAAAUGUCACAAAAUAUUUAUUUCCACCUCUACUAGGUCUACUUCUAUCACAAAUAUCACUGU